rnacentral:rRNA from 1 species
UACGGGGGGGGUAAGCGUUGUUCGGAAUUACUGGGCGUAAAGGGCUCGUAGGCGGCCAACUAAGUCAUACGUGAAAUCCCUCAGCUUAACUGGGGAACUGCGUGUGAUACUGGAUGGCUUGGAUUUGGGAGAGGGAUGCGGAAUUCCAGGUGUAGCGGUGAAAUGCGUAGAUAUCAAGAGGAACACCUGAGGUGAAGACGGGUUGCUGGGCUGACACUGACGCUGAGGCGCGAAAGCUAGGGUAGCAAACGGG